UGGUACGCGAGCUGGGUUUAGAACGUCGUGAGACAGUUCGGUCCCUAUCUGCCGUGGGCGCUGGAGAACUGAGGGGGGCUGCUCCUAGUACGAGAGGACCGGAGUGGACGCAUCACUGGUGUUCGGGUUGUCAUGCCAAUGGCACUGCCCGGUAGCUAAAUGCGGAAGAGAUAAGUGCUGAAAGCAUCUAAGCACGAAACUUGCCCCGAGAUGAGUUCUCCCUGAGACUUAAAGUCUCCUGAAGGAACGUUGAAGACGACGACGUUGAUAGGCCGGGUGUGUAAGCGCAGCGAUGCGUUGAGCUAACCGGUACUAAUGAACCGUGAGGCUUAACCUUACAACGCCGAAG
rnacentral:rRNA from 1 species